AGUAAAAACACUUAUCUAACUUUUGUGCUCUUCAACAGCAUGUUUCACCAUCAGUAGACUUUGCUUACAGUUUCUCUCCCAAUAGUUUGUGUUUUAGAGUUAUAGAGUUGAGAGAGGGUUUAU